UGGGGAAUAUUGGACAAUGGGCGAAAGCCUUAUCCAGCCAUGCCGCGUGUGUGAAGAAGGUCUUCGGAUUGUAAAGCACUUUAAGUUGGGAGGAAGGGCAGUAAGCGAAUACCUUGCUGUUUUGACGUUACCGACAGAAUAAGCACCGGCUAACUCUGUGCCAGCAGCCGCGGUAAUACAGAGGGUGCAAGCGUUAAUCGGAAUUACUGGGCGUAAAGCGCGCGUAGGUGGUUCGUUAAGUUGAAUGUGAAAGCCCCGGGCUCAACCUGGGAACUGCAUCCAAAACUGGCGAGCUAGAGUAGGGCAGAGGGUGGUGGAAUUUCCUGUGUAGCGGUGAAAUGCGUAGAUAUAGGAAGGAACACCAGUAGCGAAGGCGACCACCUGGGCUCAUACUGACACUGAGGUGCGAAAGCGUGGGGAGCAAACAGG
rnacentral:rRNA from 1 species